GAAUCAUAGAAUUUUAUUGCUGCCAAGGAACUUAGCGAUCCUCUGCCUAACCUUUAUUUUACAGAUCAGUGCAAAUGUGGCCGAGGGACUUGGGUUUUCCUUUUACUGCUGAAUCUGGUUUUCUUGAGUUUCAGAGAUAAUAGAAGAGCACAAAGGCAACAGGACAUCAAAACAGACGAGAAAAGUUUGAAAAGCAUUGUCACCUGAUACAUGACUUCCUUCUAAAACAAGCAUGCUGGCUUCAACUUCUUCCUUAAAGGAAAUAAAUGACUGGAGGAGAAAAAAUCA
rnacentral:lncRNA from 1 species